UACGGGGGGAGCAAGCGUUGUUCGGAUUUACUGGGCGUAAAGGGCGCGUAGGCGGUCAGCACAAGUCAGUUGUGAAAUCUCCGGGCUUAACCCGGAAAGGUCAACUGAUACUGUGCGACUAGAGUGCGGAAGGGGCAACUGGAAUUCUCGGUGUAGCGGUGAAAUGCGUAGAUAUCGAGAGGAACACCUGCGGCGAAGGCGGGUUGCUGGGCCGACACUGACGCUGAUGCGCGAAAGCGUGGGGGAGCAAACAGG
rnacentral:rRNA from 1 species